CGGAGUGUGGCGCAGCCUGGUAGCGCACUUGCAUGGGGUGCAAGGGGUCGUAGGUUCGAAUCCUAUCACUCCGA
rnacentral:tRNA from 1 species